AAGAGGUCUCCAUUCACGUCUCUCCAUGUCCUUUUAUCUGGACAGCGGAUAGGUCGGCGUCAAGUUGCUUAAUGAUGACUGACAGCGUCAUGAGCCAAUCAGCAGUCAAGGAAGGCAGCCUAAGAGAUCGAUAGAGAAAGGGGAGAGAGAGAGAGCGAGAGAGAGGGAGGGAGAGAGAGAAACACAGGCACUCCCAUAAGGACAUAUAUGGACGUAACACUCCCACCCUUAAGAACAAACUCGUUUG